rnacentral:rRNA from 1 species
GAUGAACGCUGGCGGCGUGCCUCAUACAUGCAAGUCGAGCGAAGCGGGGACGGGUGAGUAACACGUGGAUAACCUCCUAUAAGACUGGGAUAACUUCGGGAAACCGGAGCUAAACCGGAUACUUAUAGUUGGUUCCGCGUUGCAUUAGCUAGUUGGUAAGGUAACGGCUUACCAAGGCAACGAUGCAUAGCCGACCUGGGCGGGGGAGCGAGCCCACUGGAACGGAGACACGGUCCGACCUCCUACGGGAGGCGGCAGUAGGGAAUCUUGCGCAAUAGGCGGAAGCCUGACGGGGAAACGCCGCGUGAGUGAUGAAGGUCUUCGGAUCGUAAAACUCUGUUAUUAGGGAAGCGGUACCUAAUCAGAAAGCCACGGCUAACUACGUGCCAGCAGCCGCGGUAAUAC